rnacentral:siRNA from 1 species
AAACCCGAUUGUUCUGAUACUAC